GUGGGGAAUUUUGGACAAUGGGGGCAACCCUGAUCCAGCCAUGCCGCGUGGGUGAAGAAGGCCUUCGGGUUGUAAAGCCCUUUCGGCCGGGAAGAAAUCGCACGGAUGAAUAGUCUGUGUGGAUGACGGUACCGGAAGAAGAAGCACCGGCUAACUACGUGCCAGCAGCCGCGGUAAUACGUAGGGUGCGAGCGUUACUCGGAAUUACUGGGCGUAAAGCGUGCGCAGGCGGAUUUUUAAGCCAGAUGUGAAAUCCCCGGGCUUAACCUGGGAACUGCGUUUGGAACUGGAAGUCUGGAGUGUGUCAGAGGGGGGUGGAAUUCCACGUGUAGCAGUGAAAUGCGUAGAGAUGUGGAGGAACACCGAUGGCGAAGGCAGCCCCCUGGGAUAACACUGACGCUCAUGCACGAAAGCGUGGGGAGCAAACAGGAUUAGAUACCCCGGUAGUCC
rnacentral:rRNA from 1 species